GACGAACGCUGGCGGCGUGCUUAACACAUGCAAGUCGAACGGAAAGGCUCCAGCUUGCUGGAGUCCUCGAGUUGCGAACGGGUGAGUAACACGUGGGUAAUCUGCCCUGCACUCUGGGAUAAGCCUGGGAAACUGGGUCUAAUACUGGAUAUGACCUUUCUCCUUAUGGUGUUUGGGGGAAAGUUUUUCGGUGUAGGAUGAGCCCGCGGCCUGUCAGCUUGUUGGUGGGGUUAUGGCCUACCAAGGCGACGACGGGUAGCCGGCCUGAGAGGGUGAUCGGCCACAUUGGGACUGAGAUACGGCACGGACUAGUACGGGAGGCAGCAGUGGGGAAUAUUACACAAUAGGCGGAAGCCUGAUGCAGCGACGCCGCGUGACGGAUGACAGCCUGCGGGUUGUAAACCACUUUCAGCAGGGACGAAGCGUAAGUGACGGUACCUGCAGAAGAAGCUCCGGCUAACUAUGUG
rnacentral:rRNA from 1 species